rnacentral:rRNA from 1 species
GACGAACGCUAGCUAUAGGCUUAACACAUGCAAGUCGAGGGGCAGCGCAGUGUAGCAAUACACGGGCGGCGACCGGCGCACGGGUGCGUAACGCGUAUCCAACCUUCCCGUUACUCUCGGAUAGCCUUCCGAAAGGGAGAUUAAUACGAGAUGGUGUUGAAAUUCCGCAUGUUAUUUGAAUUAAAGAUUUAUCGGUAACGGAUGGGGAUGCGUGACAUUAGAUAGUAGGCGGGGUAACGGCCCACCUAGUCUACGAUGUCUAGGGGUUCUGAGAGGAAGGUCCCCCACACUGGAACUGAGACACGGUCCAAACUCCUACGGGAGGCAGCAGUGAGGAAUAUUGGUCAAUGGACGGAAGUCUGAACCAGCCAUGCCGCGUGAAGGAUUAAGGCCCUAUGGGUCGUAAACUUCUUUUGUGGUGGAGCAAUAAGGUCUACGUGUAGAUUGAUGAGAGUACAUCACGAAUAAGCAUCGGCUAACUCCGUG